AUAAUAAGUGUUGUGUUAAACAACCCAUUUCAUAAAUUUGCUUUCCGAGUAGCCCUUAAUUCAGGGGCUUUUUUUAUCUA
rnacentral:ncRNA from 1 species